rnacentral:rRNA from 1 species
GACGUAGGGCGCGAGCGUUGUCCGGAUUAUUGGGCGUAAAGAGCGUGUAGGCGGUUCGGUAAGUCUGCCGUGAAAACCUGGGGCUCAACCCUGGGCGUGCGGUGGAUACUGCCGGGCUAGAGGGUGGUAGAGGCGAGUGGAAUUCCCGGUGUAGCGGUGAAAUGCGCAGAUAUCGGGAGGAACACCAGUAGCGAAGGCGGCUCGCUGGGCCAUUCCUGACGCUGAGACGCGAAAGCUAGGGGAGCGAACAGG